rnacentral:lncRNA from 1 species
GGCAAAUAAACCUACUAAAGCUCAUUAGAAAACCAACACUUCACGCAGUUACAAAAACCACCCCUAUUUAUAGGGCAUAUGCUCUUAGGUAUUACUAGUGCUGCCAAAUGUUAUCCUUUUGUCUGAAGCUAAUGGAUGUGCCUCCACUUCGUCUACUCUCAGCAGCUGUGACCAUCAUCUAAAUGAAUAUAAGAAUUGAAUUAACGUGCAGUGAGUGCCCACAGUGUCCUGAACUAUAUUAAAAAUGAUGAUUGAUGGC